UGUGGGAGCGAGCUUGCUCGCGAUAGCGUCAGAUCUUUCAGCACUGAUGUUGCUGACGCACCGCCAUCGCGAGCAAGCUCGCUCCCACA
rnacentral:misc_RNA from 1 species